rnacentral:rRNA from 1 species
UACGAAGGGGGCUAGCGUUGCUCGGAUUGACUGGGCGUAAAGGGCGUGUAGGCGGUUCGUACAGUCAGACGUGAAAUUCCUGGGCUCAACCUGGGGGCUGCGUUUGAUACGUGCGGACUUGAGUGCGGAAGAGGGUCGUGGAAUUCCCAGUGUAGAGGUGAAAUCGUAGAUAUUGGGAAGAACACCGGUGGCGAAGGCGGCGACCUGGUCCGAUACUGGACGCUGAGGCGCGAAAGCGUGGGGAGCAAACAGG